CUCUGCUCUCAUCUCUUAGCUAGGUUUUCUUCACUUCUCACAUUUUGGGGAUCUUUGUUUGAACAAUGCAAUCUCACCAAAAAAAAAAAAAAAAAAAAAAAAAUCCAGGCAUUGAUUCAUCUUUGUAUGCAUAUCUUCGUGAUAGCAUUUCUACUUCCUUCACAGUUGACUUCUCCGACACAUUUAUGGGUCGGAGAUGUCCGAUUUGAAGCUAUAUCCCGCACAGAUAUGUAAUUUAUUUACCCGAUUUUGAAUACCGAUCGUUGUUCAUUUCCUUUUUUUUUUUAAAUUUCGAAAUUGCGUGAUCCUAGCUGUUUGAACCUAGCUUCACUGUUUGGUAGAUUUUCUUCAUUUUGACUUCAAUUUCGCGAUACACACAUCUACGAUUCAUAAAGUGUAUGUAUCUGUAAGUUGGAAGACAUGCAUGUCAGAUCUAAGUACAGAUCUGGGUGUUUGGACUGCUGCUUCGUUCUCCUCAGAACGCAUACGGAGUGAAGUGUGGAAGAUCUACGAAAAGGGUAAUAAAGAUGGAAUUGGAUAACACUGUUUCUAAAUUGCAAAAUUAAUGAAUAAUGCAAAUUGUAAGAUUAGAGGAAUCACAACUCUGGACAUUCUCUAAUCUGGACGGGUGGAAAUGCAAUAGUAUGGCAAUGGCCCGUAAAAUAUUUAUUGGAAGAAUAAUGUAGGGAAUGACAUGUACCUCUUCCUCAUAGAAGAGGACUAUUAGAGAAACCUUUCAUUUCCACCUCUUGUUUUUGAAGGUUGACAAAUCACGAGCAAGAAAGUACAAACCCAAUCCGGAAGAGAAUUCUGAACUUCAAAGGAAUCAAAGGAAUUUCUGUA